rnacentral:piRNA from 1 species
UAGUCAGUUUUUCUGGGAGAAUCUUUCAUU